AGUAAAUGAAGAAUCAAUUUGUCAGAGAACGAUAAAGAACAAAUUAAUUAAAUUAAUAAAAUUUCAUACUGAGAUAAAAAUAUUGACAGGGAGAAUUCAACAAGUAUUAAAUUUUGCAGUCAUUCCUUAUGCCAUAUCUGCAGCUCUUACCGGUACAUCAUUAUGUGUAUCUUUUUUAUAUCCAAAUGUUGAUAGAGUUAGCUUAUACGAUAAAUUUAUACUCAUUUUGAUGCUUUCACAUACUGUGAUGUUUUAUUUGGUUGGUGGACAAAUUAUAGAAGAUGUGGCUUUAUUUAGACUGAAAAAAUAUUUAACUACGUAUCACAUACGCCGUGGUAUUACUUUAAUAUAAGUAAUAGAAAAUUAUUAUUGAUGUUGAUAACAAAUACUUCCAAACCCAUUACUUUUUAUUUUACAAAAAAAUUGCCAGUCAAUCACAUAUUAUUAAUGAAGAUUGGACAAUCUAUAUACUCCGUAAUCGCCUUAAUGGUGAAUAUAAGAAGGAAUUAGUUAUAUUAUAUUUAGUUUUACGACGUUGAGAAUAAUUUAAAUUAUUACUUUUAAAGGAUGUUGUAACAACACUAAAGGUUGAUAUUUAACACAUGCACUAUUUAAU